rnacentral:misc_RNA from 1 species
AAGUCGUAACAAGGUUACCGUAGGUGAACCUGCGGUAGGAUCAUUAGUGAAAAGUUUAUCUUUAUCACAUUAAACUCAACCGUGAAACUUUCAACUUGGCAAGUUCCCAUAAAGUUAGAUUGGCUUAGGCUAAUAGGUAUUUAGGGCCCCUAGGAUGUGAAGCUUAAGGCUAAACUGAAUUUGGGUGUAUUGUGGCCUUAGGCGCUAUGGUGGAUGCCAGAGGUCUUACUACACAAUAAAGCAGGCUUGCUGUAUUGCUAUUUUAGUGCUGUGGGAUUUAAGUUUAUGUUAUUGCCUAAGUAAAAAACAAGAGUAUACAACCUUUAACAAUGGAUCUCUUGGCUCCU